UACAGAGGGGGCAAGCGUUAUUCGGAAUUAUUGGGCGUAAAGGGCGCGUAGGCGGCUUUGCAAGUGACAGGUAAAAUCCCUCGGCUUAACCGAGGAACUGCCUGUCAAACUGCAUGGCUUGAGACCGGGAGAGGUGAGUGGAAUUCCCAGUGUAGCGGUGAAAUGCGUAGAUAUUGGGAGGAACACCAGUGGCGAAGGCGGCUCACUGGACCGGUACUGACGCUGAUACGCGAAAGCGUGGAGAGCAAACAGG
rnacentral:rRNA from 1 species